AACGAACGCUGGCGGCGUGGCUAAGGCAUGCAAGUCGAACGGACCCCUGGAUGGGUAACUUGAAAGGGAGUCAGUGGCGAACGGGUGAGUAAUGAAUGGGUAACGUCCCCUGGACUCAGGGAUAGCGGCGGGCCGCAAGGUCCUUUGCGAAAGUGCCGGUAAUACCUGAUGACCCCGCGUGACCGCAUGGUCGAGCGGGCAAAGCUCCGGUGGUCCGGGAUCGGCCCAUUUCCUAUCAGCUAGNGGUGAGGUAAUGGCUCACCAAGGCGACGAUCCUUAGCUGGUCUGAGAGGACGACCAGCCACACUGGGACUGAGACACGGCCCAGACUCCUACGGGAGGCAGCAGUGGGGAAUAUUGGACAAUGGGCGCAAGCCUGAUCCAGCCAUGCCG
rnacentral:rRNA from 1 species